rnacentral:rRNA from 1 species
AUGCUUUCCCCAAUUUUCUCCACAACAUUCUUGACGGCCCUCUCUUCCAUUCUCUAUAUUUCCUGUGGAUCAAUCUCUUCAAAUUCAACCUCCCAUUUCACAAUUGUAUCUCUCUCUAUGUCUCAGACGCUACCAUCAACUGGCUUUGCUUUAGAUGGUAAGAAUUCAACACAGAAUUCGAAGUUGCUUAUAUAA